UUCCAGAGUGUGAUCCUGGCUCAGGAUGACCGCUAGCGGCAGGCCUAACACAUGCAAGUCGAACGGUAACAGGGGUAGCAAUACCUGCUGACGAGUGGCGCACGGGUGAGUAACGCGUAUGCAACCUGCCCUGUACUGGGGGAUAGCUCGGAGAAAUCCGGAUUAAUACCCCAUAAUAAUAGAGACGGGCAUCUGUUUUUAUUAAAGUUUUGGCGGUACAGGAUGGGCAUGCGUGCCAUUAGUUAGUUGGUGAGGUAACGGCUCACCAAGACGAUGAUGGCUAGGGGGUCUGAGAGGAUGGUCCCCCACACUGGUACUGAGACACGGACCAGACUCCUACGGGAGGCAGCAGUGAGGAAUAUUGGUCAAUGGACGCAAGUCUGAACCAGCCAUGCCGCGUGCAGGAUGACGGCCUUAUGGGUUGUAAACUGCUUUUGUAUGGGAAGAAACCCCUGAUCGUGAUCAGGGCUGACGGUACUGUACGAAUAAGCAUCGGCUAACUCCGUGCCAGCAGCCGCGGUAAUACGGAGGAUGCGAGCGUUAUCCGGAUUUAUUGGGUUUAAAGGGUGCGUAGGCGGGGUAGCAAGUCAGUGGUGAAAGUCUGCAGCUCAACUGUAGAAUUGCCGUUGAUACUGUUACUCUUGAAUUCAGUUGAGGCAGGCGGAAUGUGUAAUGUAGCGGUGAAAUGCAUAGAUAUUACACAGAACACCGAUUGCGUAGGCAGCUUGCUAACUGAGAUUGACGCUGAGGCACGAAAGCGUGGGGAGCAAACAGGAUUAGAUACCCUGGUAGUCCACGCCGUAAACGAUGAUUACUGGAUGUGUGCGAUACACUGUACGCGUCUGAGUGAAAGCAUUAAGUAAUCCACCUGGGGAGUACGAUCGCAAGAUUGAAACUCAAAGGAAUUGACGGGGGCCCGCACAAGCGGAGGAACAUGUGGUUUAAUUCGAUGAUACGCGAGGAACCUUACCUGGGCUUAAAUGCAUAUUGACGUACCGGGAAACUGGUAUUCCCUUCGGGGCGAUUUGCAAGGUGCUGCAUGGUUGUCGUCAGCUCGUGCCGUGAGGUGUCGGGUUAAGUCCCAUAACGAGCGCAACCCUUAUCGUUAGUUGCCAGCGGGUAAAGCCGGGGACUCUAACGAAACUGCCAGUGUAAACUGUGAGGAAGGUGGGGAUGACGUCAAAUCAGCACGGCCCUUACGUCCAGGGCUACACACGUGUUACAAUGGCCGGUACAGAGGGCAGCUACCUGGUGACAGGAUGCUAAUCUCGAAAGCCGGUCUUAGUUCGGAUCGAAGUCUGCAACUCGACUUCGUGAAGCUGGAUUCGCUAGUAAUCGCGCAUCAGCCACGGCGCGGUGAAUACGUUCCCGGGCCUUGUACACACCGCCCGUCAAGCCAUGGGAGCUGGGGGUGCCUGAAGUCCGUAACCGCAAGGAUCGGCCUAGGGUAAAACCAGUGACUGGGGCUAAGUCGUAACAAGGUAGCCGUA
rnacentral:rRNA from 1 species